ACAGACCUUAGACCAUGCAACCAAUUCGGGUUGCAUUAAAUAUAUUGAAAUUUUAAAAAUUUAGGAUUCCAUUCCACGUCGGGUGUAGGACUGCAAACAAAAAUCAAACGUGGGACGAUCAUCUCCGACGUAGGACGGCCUAUACGGUCUCGUUAUAACGCGCGCAGCGUCUCACGGGAACAGGCACGCGGAAAUCACGUGGGAAAAUUUUAGAAGUGGGCCGAUACUUGGCGUAAGUCGUUGUUUUCUUUCGAUAUUCGACCCGAUAUUUUCGUGGCGAAAAAUGUCUAUUGUGUGAGAAAAAUAAGCAUUAACAAAUAGCGCGUGAUAUCAAUAUUAACUUUUUCACGGGGUUUUCGAUUUCAAACGUCGCGUAUCGGUACUGCAUACCAGGGGCGGCCAACUUUAAGAGACUUGUAAUCGACCCCUCCGGUCGCGACCUCCGGAGUUUUUCUAGGCUAUCGCG